rnacentral:rRNA from 1 species
AAAGUUUCCUUCGGGGAGCGAGUAGAGUGGCGCACGGGUGAGUAACACGUAGGUAAUCUACCUUUGGAUGGGGAAUAACAACCGGAAACGGUUGCUAAUACCGCAUAAUGCAGCGGCACCUAAUGGUGACAGUUGUUAAAGCGGGGGAUCGAAAGACCUCGCGUCUGAAGAGGAGCCUGCGGCGGAUUAGCUAGUUGGUAAGGUAAUGGCUUACCAAGGCUAUGAUCCGUAACCGGCCUGAGAGGGCGGUCGGUCACACUGACACUGACAUACGGGUCAGACUCCUACGGGAGGCAGCAGUCGGGAAUUUUGGGCAAUGGGCGAAAGCCUGACCCAGCAACGCCGCGUGAAGGAUGAAAUCCCUCGGGAUGUAAACUUCGCAAGAACAGGAAGAAUAAGUAAGGGUUAAUAUCUCUUACGAUGACGGUACUGUUUGUAAGCUCCGGCUAACUCCGUGCCAGCAGCCGCGGUGAUACGGGGGGAGCAAGCGUUGUUCGGAUUUACUGGGCGUAAAGGGCGCGUAGGCGGCCACCGCAAGUCGGUUGUGAAAUCUCUGGGCUUAACCCAGAAAGGUCAACCGAUACUGCGGGGCUAGAGUGCAGAAGGGGCAACUGGAAUUCUCGGUGUAGCGGUGAAAUGCGUAGAUAUCGAGAGGAACACCUGCGGCGAAGGCGGGUUGCUGGGCUGACACUGACGCUGAAGCGCGAAAGCUAGGGGAGCGAACGGGAUUAGAUACCCCGGUAGUCCUAGCCUUAAACGAUGAAUGCUUGGUGUCUGGGGUUUUAUAGUCCCCGGGUGCCGUCGCUAACGCUUUAAGCAUUCCGCCUGGGGAGUACGGUCGCAAGACUG